rnacentral:rRNA from 1 species
AAGUCCUGCUAUGACGCGCUCUUCCUCGGCUCCACCAGUUCACCGCAUGCUACUCUCACCUGGAAGACUUGGGCUCCCCUCAGCGUCCAGUUUUUCAUGUGGCUCGCCUUACAAGACCGAUGUUGGACGAGUGAGCGACUAGCACGCCACGAUCUUCCACACUCUCCUGCGUGCGUGCUCUGGGACCAGGCCCACCGAGUCCAUGUAGCAUCUCCUGAUCGGCUGCCCCUUCUCCCGCACGGUCUGGCAUGUCAUCUUCCCCAAGCUCAGGCUCACUGCUACCAUGCCCAUCGGGCAUGA